UCAGUCGACUCCUACGGGGAGGCAGCAGUGGGGAAUAUUGCACAAUGGGGGGAAACCCUGAUGCAGCCAUGCCGCGUGUGUGAAGAAGGCCUUCGGGGUUGUAAAGCACUUUCAGUAGGGAGGAAGGUAGUGUAGUUAACACCUGCAUUAUUUGACGUUACCUACAGAAGAAGCACCGGCUAACUCCGUGCCAGCAGCCGCGGUAAUACGGAGGGUGCGAGCGUUAAUCGGAAUUACUGGGCGUAAAGCGCAUGCAGGCGGCCUGUUAAGUCAGAUGUGAAAGCCCGGGGCUUAACCUCGGAAUUGCAUUUGAAACUGGCAGGCUAGAGUCUUGUAGAGGGGGGUAGGAAUUUCAGGUGUAGCGGUGAAAUGCGUAGAGAUCUGAAGGAAUACCAGUGGCGAAGGCGGCCCCCUGGACAAAGACUGACGCUCAGAUGCGAAAGCGUGGGGAGCAAACAGGAUUAGAUACCCUGGUAG
rnacentral:rRNA from 1 species